rnacentral:pre_miRNA from 10 species
GAUAUCAACUGAAAAAGUCAUCAACAACAAAGUUGAAUAACUCAUCAAGAUCUAAAACUUUUAUUUUGGUCAUUUCUUCAUACGACAAAGUGAUAGUAACAUUGUUCACAAAAUUGACAUAUCUCUUAUCUAGUUUUAUAAACUAUAACACAUAUAUGUAAAAUUUGUGAAUAAUAUUACUAACAUUUCGUCGGAUGAAGAAAUAACAAAAAUAAAAGUUUUAGAUCUUGAUGAGUUAUUCAACUUUGUUGUUGAUGACUUUUUCAAUUGAAAUC